rnacentral:rRNA from 1 species
GACGUAGGGCGCGAGCGUUGUCCGGAUUUAUUGGGCGUAAAGAGCUCGUAGGCGGCUUGUCGCGUCGUUCGUGAAAACCUGCAGCUCAACUGCAGGCUUGCGGUCGAUACGGGCAGGCUAGAGUUCGGUAGGGGAGACUGGAAUUCCUGGUGUAGCGGUGAAAUGCGCAGAUAUCAGGAGGAACACCGGUGGCGAAGGCGACUAUCUGGGCUUUAACUGACGCUGAGGCGCGAAGGCCGGGGGAGCAAACAGG